AAAGGAGAGAAAACGUAGAACACACAAUGAACUCGUAGAAAGACCAUUUUCUUUGUGGUAGAUAAAACAUGGCUGCAAUUGUACAGUUCAAGUCAGAUGUUUAAAUAGGUUGAUCAUUUGCACGAAUAUUUUAGUUUUGUGCUUUUAAGCCAUCUUUUAAGUGUGGAACCACAAGACUAAGAAAAAUACAAAUUGCUGCUACCUACAUGGGAAACCCCAAUGUCCUUUGGAGAAAAGCUUAAAUGUUCUGACUAAAAUCAACAAAUUCAGGCUCUUCCAAUCUGUUCUGCAAUAAAUGCAAGUUUGUUCACCCAAAAUAAACUU